CCCUUAGACGUUCUGGGCCGCACGCGCGCUACACUGACCAGUGCAACAAGCAUCCGUCCUUGGCCGACAGGCCCGGGCAAUCUUUGAACGCUGGUCAUGAUGGGGAUAGACUUUUGCAAUUUUUGGUCUUCAACGAGGAAUUCCUAGUAAACGCAAGUCAUCAACUUGCAUUGAUUACGUCCCUGCCCUUUGUACACACCGCCCGUCGCACCUACCGAUUGAAUGGUCCGGUGAAGCCUCCGGAUUGGCGCGCACCUCGGUGCCGCCGAGAAGUUGGCUAAACCUUACCAUUUAGAGGAAGGUGAAGUCGUAACA
rnacentral:rRNA from 1 species